rnacentral:rRNA from 1 species
GUCGAGAAUCUUUCACAAUGGGGGCAACCCUGAUGGAGCGACGCCGCGUGGAGGAUAAGGUCUUCGGAUUGUAAACUCCUGUCAUGCGUGAACAAGGUUGCUUGGUUAAUACCUGGGCAAAUUGAUGGUAACGCAAGAGGAAGAGACGGCUAACUCUGUGCCAGCAGCCGCGGUAAUACAGAGGUCUCAAGUGUUGUUCGGAAUCACUGGGCGUAAAGGGUGCGUAGGUGGCGUGGUAAGUCAGAUGUGAAAGCCCGGGGCUCAACCUCGGAACUGCAUCCGAUACUGCCAUGCUAGAGUACUGGAGAGGUGACUAGAAUUCUCGGUGUAGCAGUGAAAUGCGUAGAUAUCGAGAGGAAUACCAAAGGCGUAGGCAGGUCACUGGACAGUUACUGACACUGAGGCACGAAGGCCAGGGGAGCGAACGGGAUUAGAUACCCUUGUAGUCC